UCCCUCUCUGUGGAAGCUUUUCUCAUGC
rnacentral:piRNA from 1 species